rnacentral:rRNA from 1 species
GACGAACGCUGGCGGCGUGCCUAAUACAUGCAAGUCGAGCGAAGCGGCGGAUGGGUGAGUAAUGCGUGGGUAACCUGCCCUUAAGCCUGGGAUAGCAUUUGGCAACGGAUGCUAAUACCGGAUAAUAAAGGAUGGACCUGCGAUGCAUUAGCUAGUUGGUAAGGUAACGGCUUACUAAGGCGAUGAUGCAUAGCCGGUUUGAGAGGAUGAUAGGACACAUUGGGACUGAGACACGGCCCAAACUCCUACGGGAGGCAGCAGUGGGGAAUCUUCCACAAUGGACGCAAGUCUGAUGGAGCAACGCCGCGUGAAUGAAGAAGGUUUUCGGAUCGUAAAGCUCUGUUGUUGGUGAAGCGGUAAUCAACCAGAAAGUCACGGCUAACUACGUGCCAGCAGCCGCGGUAAUUC